rnacentral:rRNA from 1 species
UACGGGGGGGGCAAGCGUUGUUCGGAAUUACUGGGCGUAAAGGGCUCGUAGGCGGCCAACUAAGUCAGACGUGAAAUCCCUCGGCUUAACCGGGGAACUGCGUCUGAUACUGGAUGGCUUGAAUCCGGGAGAGGGAUGCGGAAUUCCAGGUGUAGCGGUGAAAUGCGUAGAUAUCAGGAGGAACACCGGUGGCGAAGGCGGGUCUCUGGGCAGUAACUGACGCUGAGGAGCGAAAGCGUGGGGAGCGAACAGG